ACGAUGCAAGCCCAGACUUGCUGUGGUGGUAUUAGUGGCGAACGGGUGAGAUAACACGUGAGCUAACCUGCCCUUAACUCUGGGAUAAGCCUGGGAAACUGGGUCUAAUACCGGAUAGGAGCGCCUACCGCAUGGUGGGUGUUGGAAAGAUUUAUCGGUUUUGGAUGGACUCGCGGCCUAUCAGCUUGUUGGUGAGGUAAUGGCUCACCAAGGCGACGACGGGUAGCCGGCCUGAGAGGGUGACCGGCCACACUGGGACUGAGACACGGCCCAGACUCCUACGGGAGGCAGCAGUGGGGAAUAUUGCACAAUGGGCGCAAGCCUGAUGCAGCGACGCCGCGUGAGGGAUGACGGCCUUCGGGUUGUAAACCUCUUUCAGUAGGGAAGAAGCGAAAGUGACGGUACCUGCAGAAGAAGCACCGGCUAACUACGUGCCAGCAGCCGCGGUAAUACGUAGGGUGCGAGCGUUAUCCGGAAUUAUUGGGCGUAAAGAGCUCGUAGGCGGUUUGUCGCGUCUGUCGUGAAAGUCCGGGGCUUAACCCCGGAUCUGCGGUGGGUACGGGCAGACUAGAGUGCAGUAGGGGAGACUGGAAUUCCUGGUGUAGCGGUGGAAUGCGCAGAUAUCAGGAGGAACACCGAUGGCGAAGGCAGGUCUCUGGGCUGUAACUGACGCUGAGGAGCGAAAGCAUGGGGAGCGAACAGGAUUAGAUACCCUGGUAGUCCAUGCCGUAAACGUUGGGCACUAGGUGUGGGGACCAUUCCACGGUUUCCGCGCCGCAGCUAACGCAUUAAGUGCCCCGCCUGGAGAGUACGGCCGCAAGGCUAAAACUCAAAGGAAUUGACGGGGGGCCCGCACAAGCGGCGGAGCAGGCGGAUUAAUUCAAUGCAACGCGAAGAACCUUACCAAGGCUUGACAUGUUCUCGAUCGCCGUAGAGAUACGGUUUCCCCUUUGGGGCGGGUUCACAGGUGGUGCAUGGUUGUCGUCAGCUCGUGUCGUGAGAUGUUGGGUUAAGUCCCGCAACGAGCGCAACCCUCGUUCCAUGUUGCCAGCACGUAAUGGUGGGGACUCAUGGGAGACUGCCGGGGUCAACUCGGAGGAAGGUGAGGAUGACGUCAAAUCAUCAUGCCCCUUAUGUCUUGGGCUUCACGCAUGCUACAAUGGCCGGUACAAUGGGUUGCGAUACUGUGAGGUGGAGCUAAUCCCAAAAAGCCGGUCUCAGUUCGGAUUGGGGUCUGCAACUCGACCUCCAUGAUAGUCGGAGUCGUUUAGUCAUGGCAGAGA
rnacentral:rRNA from 1 species